rnacentral:rRNA from 1 species
UACGUAGGCAGCAAGCGUUGUUCGGAGUUACUGGGCGUAAAGGGUGUGUAGGCGGUUCUUUAAGUUUGGUGUGAAAUCUCCCGGCUCAACUGGGAGGGUGCGCCGAAUACUGAGGGACUAGAGUACGGGAGAGGAAAGUGGAAUUCCUGGUGUAGCGGUGAAAUGCGUAGAUAUCAGGAGGAACACCGGUGGUGUAGACGGCUUUCUGGACCGACACUGACGCAGAGACACGAAAGCGUGGGUAGCAAACAGG